GGAGCAUUAUUUCAGUUGGUUAGAAAUCUCGCCUCAUAAGCGAGUAGUCCUGAGUUCGAGUCUCAGAUGCUCCA
rnacentral:tRNA from 1 species